CCUACGGGCGGCUGCAGUGGGGAAUAUUGGACAAUGGGCGAAAGCCUGAUCCAGCCAUGCCGCGUGUGUGAAGAAGGCCUUCGGGUUGUAAAGCACUUUCAGUGGGGAAGAAAGCCUUGGGGCUAAUACCCUCGAGGAAGGACAUCACCCACAGAAGAAGCACCGGCUAACUCCGUGCCAGCAGCCGCGGUAAUACGGAGGGUGCGAGCGUUAAUCGGAAUUACUGGGCGUAAAGCGCGCGUAGGCGGUCUGAUAAGCUGGUUGUGAAAGCCCCGGGCUCAACCUGGGAACGGCAUCCGGAACUGGCAGGCUAGAGUGCAGGAGAGGAAGGUAGAAUUCCCGGUGUAGCGGUGAAAUGCGUAGAGAUCGGGAGGAAUACCAGUGGCGAAGGCGGCCUUCUGGACUGACACUGACGCUGAGGUGCGAAAGCGUGGGUAGCAAACAGGAUUAGAUACCCCUGUAGUC
rnacentral:rRNA from 1 species